rnacentral:rRNA from 1 species
UACGUAGGGUGCAAGCGUUGUCCGGAAUUAUUGGGCGUAAAGAGCUCGUAGGCGGUUUGUCGCGUCUGCUGUGAAAUCUGGGGGCUCAACCCCCAGCCUGCAGUGGGUACGGGCAGACUAGAGUGCGGUAGGGGAGAUUGGAAUUCCUGGUGUAGCGGUGGAAUGCGCAGAUAUCAGGAGGAACACCGGCGGCGAAGGCGGCACUCUGGGCCGGUACUGACGCUGAGGAGCGAAAGCGUGGGUAGCAAACAGG